UCCACAGCCGCAAUAGCCGCCUCCCUCAUCUGUUCACACUGCCCUAUCACUUCGAAUCCUUCAGGGACUCCCAGGCUCAACCCUUGGCACAGCUUACAGGGCCAUUACUGAUCGGCUACAGCCCAUUUUCUCAGUUGCAUUUCCAACUUCCUCUGCUUGCCAGAAUGGGGA